AGAGUUUGAUCCUGGCUCAGGAUGAACGCUGGCGGUAUGCUUUACACAUGCAAGUCAUACGAGAGUUUUUAACUCAAGUGGCGGACGGGUGAGUAACACGUAAGAAUUUGCCUUUAGGAGGGGGACAACAACUGGAAACGGUUGCUAAUACCCCAUAUGCUUUCGAGUGAAAUGGUUUUUCCGCCUAAAGAGAAGCUUGCGGCUGAUUAGCUUGUUGGUAAGGUAAUGGCUUACCAAGGCGACGAUCAGUAUCUGGUUUGAGAGGACGAUCAGACACACUGGAACUGAGACACGGUCCAGACUCCUACGGGAGGCAGCAGUGGGGAAUUUUCCGCAAUGGGCGAAAGCCUGACGGAGCAAUACCGCGUGAGGGAUGAAUGCCUAUGGGUUGUAAACCUCUUUUUUCAGGGAGGAAUCAAUGACGUGUACCUGAAGAAUAAGCAUCGGCUAACUCCGUGCCAGCAGCCGCGGUAAGACGGAGGAUGCAAGUGUUAUCCGGAAUCACUGGGCGUAAAGCGUCUGUAGGUGGUUUGAUAAGUCAACUGUUAAAUCUUGAGGCUCAACCUCAAAACCGCAGUCGAAACUAUUAGACUAGAGUAUAGUAGGGGUAAAGGGAAUUUCCAGUGGAGCGGUGAAAUGCGUAGAGAUUGGAAAGAACACCGAUGGCGAAGGCACUUUACUGGGCUAUUACUAACACUGAGAGACGAAAGCUAGGGUAGCAAAUGGGAUUAGAUACCCCAGUAGUCCUAGCCGUAAACAAUGGAUACUAGAUGUUGAACAGAUCGACCUGUGCAGUAUCAAAGCUAACGCGUUAAGUAUCCCGCCUGGGAAGUAUGCUCGCAAGAGUGAAACUUAAAGGAAUUGACGG
rnacentral:rRNA from 1 species